CACAGGUCCCACCCCCGAUCCGCCCCCAGGAGCCUUUUAACUCCAUCUCUCCUCUGCUUCCCAGAGAACCUGGCCCAAGAGCAUGCACAGAGCAGUCCAUCCUGUAUCCAGCCUGGAGGAGUGGGGAUGGGCCAGAUCAGUUGGGUGGGGAGGGGCACUCGGGAGCUGAUCUAUGGAUGGAUAAGUCUUGGCUGUGCUCUGUCUGAGGGGCUUUAUUAGACAGUUGGAUGAGGUCCUAAUUACCCCUGGACCCAGGGCAAGUGCUGCCUUUCCCACGAAGCUGUCUUGCACGUUGCCCUCAGGAUGAACAGUGGGUGCCGGUGAGCGGGCGCGUAGCACAGGCCGUGGUGCUCACCACGCCGUAACUGUCCCUGGUACUCAGUCUUCAGAACAAUCCCACUUAGAGAACCAGAAGCUGGACUCCGGGUCCCUGUGCAGCGUCAAGCCGUUAAACCAGGCAGUAGACGUUCCGGGACCUUCCUGGGCUCGUCUGAGCGCUGGGCACCCAUUCUGAGCGCCAAGCGAUGCCCUGAAGCCACUGGGAAGCUGACAGGCAGGAGCCUGAGAGGCCUGCAGGAGACUCUGUCUGCACACCCCGAUCCGGGCUGGCUUCGCUGCGUAACGGAGGGCUGCUUUGCCUGCCGACCCUCAGAAGCGGAGAGAAAUUCCCAGGUGGGAUUUUCUCAGCACAAAUGACCCGCCUGAUCAAGGGAUCUGGUAGCCAGGUGGCUUCUGGGUAUCCUUGCAAAUAUUUGGUUUCAGAGAAGGGGUCACGUUACAACGGUUUAAUAUUUGGAGGCUGAAAGGGCUGCAGCAAUAAGCUGUGUCCACUUCUUGUCCCCCAGCCGCCAGCAGACAGCCCAUAAAAACGUGGGGCUCAUGUUCACACAGAGGGCUGCUGGUUUUAUGGGCUGGGGGAGAGGGGCGGGAGAGGACGGUCAUGGGCAGGCUGCCUGAGAGUCUCAAUUAAAUGGGUGUCAGCUGCUAGGGACACAGCAAUCAGGAGGGGAACACCUGAGUCCUGGGAGCCUGACAUUGUGUGAGGGCCCCCUGCUCAGCCACAAAAUGCCCACAGACCUGUCCUUACCCUGCCUCCCAGGGCCAACAUCUCCCCACCAGCUGGUCCCACCACACGAUGGCCCCUGUGCUUGAAGGAUGGCCCCAGUGCUAGCUCCUGCCUUCCCCAACUCAGAGUGGACCCCCAGCCUCUUCGCUUUCUCCCCUCUGUAGAAGCCCACUCACCCUUGGGAAAAGGUAACACAUUGGUUCACUCUAAAAUAGGUGCCUGGGGAUUCCCUGGUGGCUCAGUGGUAAAGAAUCCACCUGCUAAUGCAGGAGACACAAGUUUGAUCCCUGGUCUUCGAUCCCUGGUCAUGAAGAUCCCCUAGAGGAGGGCAUGGCAACCCACUCCAGUGUUCUUGCCUGGAGAAUCCCAUGGACAGAGGAGCCUGUGGGCUACAGUCCACAGGGUCGCGAAGAGUCAGACAGGCCUGAGGUGACUGAGCACGCACUGGGAAGAUCCCACAUGCCGCAGGGAAACUGAGCCUCAUGCGCCACAACUAUUGAGCCUGGGCUCUGGAUCCCAGGAGCCACAACUACUGAGCACAAGCACCGCAGUUACUGAAGCCUGUGCACGCUGGAUCCUGUCCUCCUCAAGGAGAAGCCACUGCAAUGAAAAGCCAGAGCACCGCAACUAGAGAGUAGCCCCCAACUUACCAUAACUAAAGAAAAGCCAGCAUAGCAAUGAAGACCCAGCACAGCCAAGGAUAAAUAAAUAAAUAAAUAAUAAAAAAUAAUAAAGAAUA
ensembl:lncRNA